rnacentral:rRNA from 1 species
GCAGUCGAGCGGUAGAGAGAAGCUUGCUUCUCUUGAGAGCGGCGGACGGGUGAGUAAUGCCUAGGAAUCUGCCUGGUAGUGGGGGAUAACGUUCGGAAACGGACGCUAAUACCGCAUACGUCCUACGGGAGAAAGCAGGGGACCUUCGGGCCUUGCGCUAUCAGAUGAGCCUAGGUCGGAUUAGCUAGUUGGUGAGGUAAUGGCUCACCAAGGCGACGAUCCGUAACUGGUCUGAGAGGAUGAUCAGUCACACUGGAACUGAGACACGGUCCAGACUCCUACGGGAGGCAGCAGUGGGGAAUAUUGGACAAUGGGCGAAAGCCUGAUCCAGCCAUGCCGCGUGUGUGAAGAAGGUCUUCGGAUUGUAAAGCACUUUAAGUUGGGAGGAAGGGCAUUAACCUAAUACGUUAGUGUUUUGACGUUACCGACAGAAUAAGCACCGGCUAACUCUGUGCCAGCAGCCGCGGUAAUACAGAGGGUGCAAGCGUUAAUCGGAAUUACUGGGCGUAAAGCGCGCGUAGGUGGUUUGUUAAGUUGGAUGUGAAAUCCCCGGGCUCAACCUGGGAACUGCAUUCAAAACUGACUGACUAGAGUAUGGUAGAGGGUGGUGNAAUUUCCUGUGUAGCGGUGAAAUGCGUAGAUAUAGGAAGGAACACCAGUGGCGAANGCGANCACCUGGACUAAUACUGACACU